rnacentral:rRNA from 1 species
AUGAUUUGUUUCAAUUGUGGGGGCUCUGGUCACUAUGUUGGAAAUUGUGUGAAGCCAAAAGCAUGUUUCUUCUGUCAGCAGAACCACGAUGUUAAUAACUAUGCUACAUGGUCCAAAGUUCAACCCACUGCUGCUUUCUUCGGUAGUGGAGCGCGAGGUCUUGGUUUCUGCCAUGUUGAUGUACCUGUUGCCAAUGAAUCAAAGUGGCUGAAUUUUCAGAACUGUGUUGUGGUGAACAUUCUGAAAGGAGAAGUGGACUGCUCCAAGUUGAUGAACCUGACUACAACUUUUUGCAAGACUAGGCAUUGGCCAUGGCAGAUCAGAGGGUUAUCUAGCAAGACUUUCUUGGUUAGAUUUCCUCCUUGGAAGAAAGUUGAAGAUCUCAUUGAGCUGCCUGGAUUUUCUCUUCCCCAGGAUGUGAAUGUUACUCUGACUGAAUGGAAAGGUGGAUGUGACCAUUUUGAGGAAUUAAUUGACGCAUGGGUUCUGAUUGAGGGGAUCCCUCCAAAGUGGUGCACUUGGAAAGUGUUUGCUCAAAUUGCUUCUCUCUUUGGAGUGCUUACUGAUGUAGACUGGAAUGGCAUGUUCAGAACUUUUUUUGAGAAUGUCAGGAUCAAAAUUGCUCGUAGAGAUCCCAUCAAGAUACCUUUUGAAAGGCUGAUUGAGAUGAAUAAGAAACUCUUCCUGCUAGGUUUUACUGUUGAGGGCUUUGAACAGGUGGGUGUAGUGGAUUCUGUCAUUGAUGUGGAAGAUGAUGAGGAUGGUGAUGAGGAAGAAGAAAGAGCUGAGGAGGAUCAAGCUGCUGAUGGCAGUGGGACUCAUGGAGAACAUGCUUCUGAUGGAUCUCAUGAUGGGGGCCUGGCCAUUGAUGAGCUAGAUAAAGCUAAUUUCUCAGCCAAACAUGGAUCUACCAAGCAUGUUUCUCAGAAUGUGGAAAUAUCAACUAUGGAAUUGUGCCCUGAUUCUGAUCAGGAGGAUUUUAUAUUGAGUGUGCAAUGGUUGAAGCUAUUCAGAGUGCUCCAUCUUAUGAUGAUACUUAGAUAA